rnacentral:lncRNA from 12 species
CCCCCCCCCCCCCCCCCCCCCCCCCCCCCCCCCCCCCCCCCCCCCCCCCCCCCCCCCCCCCCCCCCCCCUGAGCUUGACCUCGGUGAUCCGCGGUUGGUUUGGGGUUGGGCUUUGAGCUCGCCUGAGCUUGGGUGGGCGUGGCCUUGGCUUUGGGCUGGUCUUGACUGUCGGUUGGUUGGUUUCAACUUCGUUGACCAUUGGUGGCUCUUCGUUGAUCGUUGGGUGACCUUGAGCUUGGUUUGGGUUGGUCUUAACUUGGAGUUGUCUUCACCAUGGCUUGGUCGGUCUUGACCUUGUUGACCAUUGAUUGCUCUUCGCCUGACCAUUGGGUGACUCUUGGAUUGGUCUUGACCUGUGGUUGGUCCAUCUUGACUUCGUUGAUCAUUGGUCGGUCUUCAGUUGACCGUUGGGUGACCUUUGACCUUGGGUUGGGUUGGGUUUGGUUGACUUUGAGUUGGGUUUGGUUGACUUUGACUUGGGUUGAGUUUGGAUGACCUUGAGUUUGAUUGGGUUGGGUUGGGUUGACCUUGGGUUGAGUUGGGUUGGGUUGACCUUGAGUUGGGUUGGGUUGACUUGGUUUGACUUCCAGUUGGGUUGAUCUUGAGUUUUGGGUUGACCUGGGGUGACCUUCGUUUGGCCCCUCCCCCACUCCCCUCCCGUUGGCCCCUCCCCCACGUGGGCGUGGCCAAACACUCCGGGCCCCUCCCCCGCUCCGCAAGUGCCUCAAUAAACGGAAUUCUGGGAAAACGCCCCGAAAACGACCCCCCCCCCCCCCCCCCCCCCCCCCCCCCCCCCCCCCCCCCCCC